rnacentral:rRNA from 1 species
UGAACGCUGGCGGCAUGGCUAAAACAUGCAAGUCGUGGGAGAAGCACCUUCGGGUGUGGACACCGGCGAAAGGGCGAGUAACACGACCGUACGUACCCCGAGGUGGGGGAUAGCGUCGGGAAACCGGCGGUAAUACCCCAUGUGCUCUACUGAGGAAAGCUUCGGCGCCUUAGUAGCGGCGGCCUAUCUUGAGUGUCUUAAGGGACGUGGUCGCCCAGCCGGACAAAGAUAGCUAGUGUUGUGUGCGAGCCUGACCCGACGCAGCGUGACUGAGAGACUGGCCGGACUCCUACGGGAGGCUGCAGUAACGAAUCUUCCGCAAUGCACGCAAGUGUGACGGAGCAAUGCCGCGUGUGGGAUGAAGCGGUUCCGCCGUGUAAAUCACAGUCAGGGUCUAGGAAGAACUGACCAGACCCAGAGGAAGGGCCGGCUAAUCUCGUGCCAGCAGCCGCGGUAAGACGAGAGGCCCGAGCGUUAGGCGGCUGCACUGGGCUUCAAGGGUGCGUAGGCGGCUUGGCGGGCAUCUCGUGAAGUCCCUCGGCUCAUCCGAGGAAUUGCGGGGUGAACUGCCAGUCUUGAGGAAGGCAGAGGCUGUCGGAACGUUCGGUGGAGCGGUGAAAUGCGUAGAUAUCGAACGGAACGCCGAAGGGGUAGCCAGGCAGCUGGGCCUUACCUGACGCUGAGGCACGAAAGCGUGGGGAUCAAACAGGAUUAGAUACCCUGGUAGUCCACGCCGUAAACGAUGUGCACUAGCUCGAUGCAGAUCUGACUCUGUGUCGGGCGCCGAGAAAUCAUUAAGUGCACCGCCUGGGGAGUACGGUCGCAAGGCUAAAACUCAAAGGAAUUGACGGGGGCUCACACAAGCGGUGGAGCAUGUUGCUUAAUUCGAAGCAACGCGAAGAACCUUACCUGGGUUUGACAUGCACGGAUUAGUCAUUGGAAACAGUGAUGACGCUCUUCGAGUGGAACGUGCACAGGUGCUGCAUGGCUGUCGUCAGCUCGUGCUGUGAAGUGUCGGGUUAAGUCCCUUAACGAGCGCAACCCUUAUCGCUAGUUGCCAGCGCAUUAUGGCGGGGACUCUAGCGAGACUGCCGGUGUCAAACCGGAGGAAGGUGGGGAUGACGUCAAGUCCUCAUGGCCUUUAUGCCCAGGGUGGCAAACGUGCUACAAUGGCGUGUACAGAGCGACGCAAUACCGUGAGGUGGAGCAAAUCGCAAAAAGCACGCCCCAGUUCGGAUAGCAGUCUGCAACUCGACUGCUUGAAGCCGGAAUCGCUAGUAAUCGCGGAUCAGCCAUGCCGCGGUGAAUACGUUCCUGAGCCUUGUACACACCGCCCGUCAAGUCAUGGAAGCCGGGAGUGCCCGAAGUCGCU